AUUGAACGCUGGCGGCAGGCCUAACACAUGCAAGUCGAACGAGUGGCGGACGGGUGAGUAAUGUCUGGGAAACUGCCCGAUGGAGGGGGAUAACUACCGGAAACGGUAGCUAAUACCGCAUACCAUCGGAUGUGCCCAGAUGGGAUCAGCGAGGCGGUGGGGUAACGGCUCACCUAGGCGACGAUCCCUAGCUGGUCUGAGAGGAUGACCAGCAACACGGGAACUGAGGAACGGUCCAGACUCCUACGGAGGGCAGCAGUGGGGAGUAUUGCACAAUGGACGCAAGCCUGAUACAGCCAUGCCGCGUGUAUGAAGAAGGCCUUCGGAUUGUAAAGUACUUUCAGCAAGGAGGCGUUACUCGCAGAAGAAGCACCGGCUAACUCCGUGCCAGCAGCCGCGGUAAUUC
rnacentral:rRNA from 1 species